rnacentral:lncRNA from 1 species
GGCGAUUCAAAAUGAUUGUCGACCGACAAUUUGUAUAAUAAUUGAUAAGCUAAAUAAGACAGUUUUGAAUCCUUUCCAGAUAAAAGUCGUGUCCAAAAUGCAAUCAUUUUUAGUUUGAUAUCUAGUUGAACAGGAAAAAUGCCAAGUUCACCAUAAAUCAUAUAGUUUGGGGUGGAUGAUUUUAACUUAAGUAACAAUUUACAAAAUCGUAAUUGUACCCUUUCAAUACAUUGAAUAUUUUUACAAAAUCCCCAUACUUCUGAGCCAUACAAAAGAAUGGGCUUUAAUACCAUUUUAUUAAACAGUUCUAGUUGACAUUCAAUUGCUAAAUUAUGAAUGCGACCUCUUUUUAAAAACUCAUACAUUGCUUUUGUUGCCUUCUCUGCUUGCUUUUUUAUUGCUUUACUAAAAUUGCCGGUCCUGCUAAAUAGUAUACCAAGAUAGUUAAAUUCAUGAACUAUAUCUAUAUCUGCCCCAUUUAAGGAAAAAUUUUAAAUCUGCACAAGGCCUUCCCCUGGAAAAUACCAUGACUUUGGUUUUGUUAACAUUUACCUUCAGUCUCCAUAUAUUACAGUACUCUCCAAAUUUGUUUAAUAUUUUUUGUAAGUCUUCUUUUGAUUCAGACAUUAGGACCGUAUCGUCUGCAUAUAGCAGAACAAAAAGUUUCAGGUAAAUGUUU